GGGCUAAAAUUUUAGAUGGCCUUUGCUAGUUUUCUAGCGAAUGGUUCAUUCUUUUUUACUGUGAACUGUUUUAAUUUUUCAGCGUCUGAGGAAUGUCUUUUAGCCAUAGGGAUAGGCUACUAGAAUGUUAACCGAGCUGAAAGUCAGGCUUAGGCCUGGUAUCCUAUUAAUUAUUUACCAAAAGAAUUCAGUAUUAUAAUUGUAACAUAAGCGUAAAAAACUUAUAAAACAACUUUUAACAACGGAUCUCUUGGUUCUCGCAUCGAUGAAGAACGUAGCAAAGUGCGAUAACUAGUGUGAAUUGCAUAUUCAGUGAAUCAUCGAGUCUUUGAACGCAACUUGCGCUCAAUGGUAUUCCAUUGAGCACGCCUGUUUCAGUAUCAAAAACACCCCACAUUCAUAAUUUUGUUGUGAAUGGAAAUGAGAGUUUCGGCUUUAUUGCUGAAUUCUUUAAAAUUAUUAGGCCUGAACUAUUGUUCUUUCUGCCUGAACAUUUUUUUAAUAUAAAGGAAUGCUCUAGUAAAAAGACUAUCUCUGGGGCCUCCCAAAUAAAUCAUUCUUAAAUUUGAUCUGAAAUCAGGCGGGAUUACCCGCUGAACUUAAGCAUAUCAAAAGCCGGAAGGAA
rnacentral:rRNA from 1 species